UUCAAAUGUUAAUUUUUUCCUUGAUUAUUAUUAGUUAUGUUCUUUAAAAUUAAAAAAUUUGGCGGUAUUUUAGUCUGUUCAGAGGAACCUGUUUUUUAAUUGAUAGUCCACGAUGAUUUUUACUUUGGUUUUUAAUUUGCAUAUCGUCGUUUAUAAAAAUUUUAUUAGAAUUAUAAUUUUUUUGAUUUUGGAUUAAAAAGUAUUUCAGAUCAAGGUGUAGUUGAUAUUAAAGUUAAAAUGGGUUACAUUAUAGUUAUAUUUGGUAUUAUUAUUUAAAAUUUUAAUUAAAUUGGAUUUGAUAGUAAAUUCUUUGUUUUUGGGAUUUGAUUGAGCUCUAAAAUAUGU
rnacentral:rRNA from 1 species